rnacentral:rRNA from 1 species
AGGUUGGCUUAGAAGCAGCCAUCCUUUAAAGAAAGCGUAAUAGCUCACUAGUCGAAUCGGCCUGCGCGGAAGAUAUAACGGGGCUCAAACUAUACACCGAAGCUACGGACGCAUGCUUGCAUGCGUGGUAGAGGAGCGUUCUGUAGGCCGUUGAAGGGAAAGCUGAGAGGCAUCCUGGAGGUAUCAGAAGUGCGAAUGCUGACAUGAGUAACGAUAAGGGGAGUGAAAAGCUCCCCCGCCGGAAGACCAAGGUUUCCUAUCCAAUGCUAAUCAGGGUAGGGUGAGUCGGCCCCUAAGGCGAGGCUGAAGAGCGUAGUCGAUGGGAAGCAGGUUAAUAUUCCUGCACCACUCAAUAUUGCGAAGGAGGGACGGAGAAGGCUAGUCCAGCGCGGCGUUGGUUGUCCGCGUUUAAGCGUGUAGGCUUAAAUCUUAGGUAAAUCCGGGAUUUUUUAAGGCUGAGGCGUGAUGACGAGGUCCAUUAGGACUGAAGUGGUUGAUGCCAUGCUUCCAGGAAAAGCUUCUAAGCUAUAGAUAUUGAGUGACCGUACCCCAAACCGACACAGGUGGUCAGGUAGAGAAUACCAAGGCGCUUGAGAGAACUCGGGUGAAGGAACUAGGCAAAAUGGUACCGUAACUUCGGGAGAAGGUACGCCGCUGAUGGUGAUGGGACUUGCUCCCUAAGCUGUUGGCGGCCGAAGAUACCAGGUGGCUGCGACUGUUUAUUAAAAACACAGCACUGUGCAAACACGAAAGUGGACGUAUACGGUGUGACGCCUGCCCGGUGCCGGAAGGUUAAUUGAUGGGGUUAGCUUCGGCGAAGCUCUUGAUCGAAGCCCCGGUAAACGGCGGCCGUAACUAUAACGGUCCUAAGGUAGCGAAAUUCCUUGUCGGGUAAGUUCCGACCUGCACGAAUGGCGUAACGACGGCCACACUGUCUCCACCCGAGACUCAGUGAAAUUGAAAUCGCUGUUAAGAUGCAGUGUAUCCGCGGCUAGACGGAAAGACCCCGUGAACCUUUACUAUAGCUUCACAGUGAACUUUGAACCUAUUUGUGUAGGAUAGGUGGGAGGCUUUGAAACUGGGACGCUAGUCUCAGUGGAGCCAAACUUGAAAUACCACCCUGGUAUGUUUGAGGUUCUAACUCAGGUCCGUAAUCCGGAUCGAGGACACUGUGUGGUGGGUAGUUUGACUGGGGCGGUCUCCUCCCAAAGAGUAACGGAGGAGCACGAAGGUAUGCUAAUCAUGGUCGGAAAUCAUGAGGUUAGUGCAAUGGCAUAAGCAUGCUUAACUGCGAGACAGACACGUCGAGCAGAUACGAAAGUAGGUCAUAGUGAUCCGGUGGUUCUGAAUGGAAGGGCCAUCGCUCAACGGAUAAAAGGUACUCCGGGGAUAACAGGCUGAUACCGCCCAAGAGUUCAUAUCGACGGCGGUGUUUGGCACCUCGAUGUCGGCUCAUCACAUCCUGGGGCUGGAGCAGGUCCCAAGGGUAUGGCUGUUCGCCAUUUAAAGUGGUACGCGAGCUGGGUUUAGAACGUCGUGAGACAGUUCGGUCCCUAUCUGCCGUGGACGUUUGAGAUUUGAGAAGAGUUGCUCCUAGUACGAGAGGACCGGAGUGAACGAACCUCUGGUGUUCCGGUUGUCACGCCAGUGGCAUUGCCGGGUAGCUACGUUCGGACAGGAUAACCGCUGAAAGCAUCUAAGCGGGAAGCCCCCUUCAAGAUGAGAUCUCACAGGACUUUAAGUCCCUAAAGAGCCGUUCAAGACUAGGACGUUGAUAGGUUGGGUGUGUAAGCACGGUAACGUGUUGAGCUAACCAAUACUAAUUGCUCGUGAGGCUUGACCAU